rnacentral:rRNA from 1 species
AGAGUUUGAUCCUGGCUCAGGACGAACGCUGGCGGCGUGCCUAAUACAUGCAAGUAGAACGCUGAAGGAGGAGCUUGCUUCUCUGGAUGAGUUGCGAACGGGUGAGUAACGCGUAGGUAACCUGCCUGGUAGCGGGGGAUAACUAUUGGAAACGAUAGCUAAUACCGCAUAAGAGUGGAUGUUGCAUGACAUUUGCUUAAAAGGUGCACUUGCAUCACUACCAGAUGGACCUGCGUUGUAUUAGCUAGUUGGUGGGGUAACGGCUCACCAAGGCGACGAUACAUAGCCGACCUGAGAGGGUGAUCGGCCACACUGGGACUGAGACACGGCCCAGACGCCUACGGGAGGCAGCAGUAGGGAAUCUUCGGCAAUGGACGGAAGUCUGACCGAGCAACGCCGCGUGAGUGAAGAAGGUUUUCGGAUCGUAAAGCUCUGUUGUAAGAGAAGAACGAGUGUGAGAGUGGAAAGUUCACACUGUGACGGUAUCUUACCAGAAAGGGACGGCUAACUACGUGCCAGCAGCCGCGGUAAUACGUAGGUCCCGAGCGUUGUCCGGAUUUAUUGGGCGUAAAGCGAGCGCAGGCGGUUAGAUAAGUCUGAAGUUAAAGGCUGUGGCUUAACCAUAGUAGGCUUUGGAAACUGUUUAACUUGAGUGCAAGAGGGGAGAGUGGAAUUCCAUGUGUAGCGGUGAAAUGCGUAGAUAUAUGGAGGAACACCGGUGGCGAAAGCGGCUCUCUGGCUUGUAACUGACGCUGAGGCUCGAAAGCGUGGGGAGCAAACAGGAUUAGAUACCCUGGUAGUCCACGCUGUAAACGAUGAGUGCUAGGUGUUAGACCCUUUCCGGGGUUUAGUGCCGUAGCUAACGCAUUAAGCACUCCGCCUGGGGAGUACGACCGCAAGGUUGAAACUCAAAGGAAUUGACGGGGGCCCGCACAAGCGGUGGAGCAUGUGGUUUAAUUCGAAGCAACGCGAAGAACCUUACCAGGUCUUGACAUCCCUCUGACCGCUCUAGAGAUAGAGUUUUCCUUCGGGACAGAGGUGACAGGUGGUGCUUGGUUGUCGUCAGCUCGUGUCGUGAGAUGUUGGGUUAAGUCCCGCAACGAGCGCAACCCCUAUUGUUAGUUGCCAUCAUUUAGUUGGGCACUCUAGCGAGACUGCCGGUAAUAAACCGGAGGAAGGUGGGGAUGACGUCAAAUCAUCAUGCCCCUUAUGACCUGGGCUACACACGUGCUACAAUGGCUGGUACAACGAGUCGCAAGCCGGUGACGGCAAGCUAAUCUCUUAAAGCCAGUCUCUGUUCGGAUUGUAGGCUGCAACUCGCCUACAUGAAGUCGGAAUCGCUAGUAAUCGCGGAUCAGCACGCCGCGGUGAAUACGUUCCCGGGCCUUGUACACACCGCCCGUCACACCACGAGAGUUUGUAACACCCGAAGUCGGUGAGGUAACCGUAAGGAGCCAGCCGCCUAAGGUGGGAUAGAUGAUUGGGGGAAGUCGUAACAAGGUAGCCGUAUCGGAAGGUGCGGCUGGAUCACCU